CCUACGGGGGGCUGCAGUGGGGAAUAUUGGACAAUGGGCGAAAGCCUGAUCCAGCCAUGCCGCGUGUGUGAAGAAGGCCUUCGGGUUGUAAAGCACUUUCAGUGGGGAAGAAAGCCUUGGGGCUAAUACCCUCGAGGAAGGACAUCACCCACAGAAGAAGCACCGGCUAACUCCGUGCCAGCAGCCGCGGUAAUACGGAGGGUGCGAGCGUUAAUCGGAAUUACUGGGCGUAAAGCGCGCGUAGGCGGUCUGAUAAGCCGGUUGUGAAAGCCCCGGGCUCAACCUGGGAACGGCAUCCGGAACUGUCAGGCUAGAGUGCAGGAGAGGAAGGUAGAAUUCCCGGUGUAGCGGUGAAAUGCGUAGAGAUCGGGAGGAAUACCAGUGGCGAAGGCGGCCUUCUGGACUGACACUGACGCUGAGGUGCGAAAGCGUGGGUAGCAAACAGGAUUAGAUACCCCUGUUAGUC
rnacentral:rRNA from 1 species